UCCUUAGAUGUCCUGGGCUGCACGCGCGCUACACUGAUGUGUCCAGUAAGCACCUAACCUAUUCCGAGAGGAGCGGGUAACCUUAGCAAAGCACAUCGUGAUGGGGAUAGAUUAUUGCAAUUAUUAGUCUUGAACGAGGAAUUCCUAGUAAGCACAAGUCAUCAGCUUGUGUUGAUUACGUCCCUGCCCUUUGUACACACCGCCCGUCGCUCCUACCGAUUGAAUGUUCCGGUGAGCUCUUCGGACUGCGCGGUCUGCAGUUUCUGCGUUCCGUGCGGAAAGUUGUGCAAACCUUAACAUUUAGAGGAAGGAGAAGUCGUAACA
rnacentral:rRNA from 1 species